rnacentral:rRNA from 1 species
UGGGGAAUUUUGGGCAAUGGGGGCAACCCUGACCCAGCAACGCCGCGUGGAGGAAGAAGACCUUCGGGUCGUAAACUCCUGUCCGGAGGGACGAAGGAAGUGACGGUACCUCUGGAGGAAGCCCCGGCUAACUCCGUGCCAGCAGCCGCGGUAAUACGGGGGGGGCAAGCGUUGUUCGGAAUUACUGGGCGUAAAGGGCGCGUAGGCGGCUUCGGAAGUCAUGGGUGAAAGGCCUCGGCUCAACCGAGGAAUUGCCUGUGAAACCACGGAGCUGGAGUGCUGGAGAGGAAAGCGGAAUUCCCAGUGUAGCGGUGAAAUGCGUAGAUAUUGGGAGGAACAUCUGAGGCGAAGGCGGCUUUCUGGACAGACACUGACGCUGAGGCGCGAAAGCCAGGGGAGCAAACGGG